rnacentral:rRNA from 1 species
GACGAACGCUGGCGGCGUGCUUAACACAUGCAAGUCGAACGGAAAGGCCCUGCUUUUGUGGGGUGCUCGAGUGGCGAACGGGUGAGUAACACGUGAGUAACCUGCCCUUGACUUUGGGAUAACUUCAGGAAACUGGGGCUAAUACCGGAUAGGAGCUCCUGCUGCAUGGUGGGGGUUGGAAAGUUUCGGCGGUCGGGGAUGGACUCGCGGCUUAUCAGCUUGUUGGUGGGGUAGUGGCUUACCAAGGCUUUGACGGGUAGCCGGCCUGAGAGGGUGACCGGCCACAUUGGGACUGAGAUACGGCACAGCCUCCUACGGGAGGCAGCAGUGGGGAAUAUUGCACAAUGGGCGGAAGCCUGAUGCAGCAACGCCGCGUGCGGGAUGACGGCCUUCGGGUUGUAAACCGCUUUCGCCUGUGACGAAGCGUGAGUGACGGUAAUGGGUAAAGAAGCACCGGCUAACUACGUG